rnacentral:rRNA from 1 species
UAGGGAAUCUUCGGCAAUGGACGAAAGUCUGACCGAGCAACGCCGCGUGAGUGAAGAAGGUUUUCGGAUCGUAAAACUCUGUUGUUAGAGAAGAACAAGGACGUUAGUAACUGUACGUCCCCUGACGGUAUCUAACCAGAAAGCCACGGCUAACUACGUGCCAGCAGCCGCGGUAAAACGUAGGUGGCAAGCGUUGUCCGGAUUUAUUGGGCGUAAGGCGAGCGCAGGCGGUUUCUUAAGUCUGAUGUGAAAGCCCCCGGCUCAACCGGGGAGGGUCAUUGGAAACUGGGAGGCUUGAGUGCAGAAGAGGAGAGUGGAAUUCCAUGUGUAGCGGUGAAAUGCGUAGAUAUAUGGAAGAACACCAGUGGCGAAGGCGACUCGCUGGUCUGUAACUGACGCUGAGGCGCGAAAGCGUGGGGAGCAAACAGG